CCCAAAUUCCCGAUUAAUUCUAUCCCAAAUUCCCGACAAAUUUUAUCCCAAAUUCCCAAUGAAUUCUAUCCCAAAUUCCCGACGAAUUCUACCACAAAUUCCCCAUUAAUUCUACCCCAAGUUCCUGAUUAAUUCUACCCCAAAUUCCUGAUUAAUUCCAUCCCAAAUUCCCGAUGAAUUUUAUUCCAAAUUCCUGAUUAAUUCUAUCCCAAAUUCCCGACGAAUUUUAUCCCAAAUUCCUGAUUAAUUUUAUCCCAAAUUCCCGAUUAAUUCUAUCCCAAAUUCCCGAUUAAUUCUACCACAAAUUCCUGAUUAAUUCCAUCCCAAAUUCCCAAUGAAUUUUAUUCCAAAUUCCUGAUUAAUUCUAUCCCAAAUUCCCAAUGAAUUCUACCACAAAUUCCCCAUGAAUUCUAUCCCAAAUUCCCAAUUAAUUCUAUCCCAAAUUCCCAAUUAAUUCUACCCCAAAUUCCCGAUGAAUUUUUCCCUGGAUCUGCUGGCACAGCCAGGACACACCAAGGGAAGCUCCUGGAGGGAGAGGUGACAUUCCAAGGCUUUUUCCCUCCUCUCAUCUCUCCCUCAAAUUGCUUUUGACGUUUAAAAUCUCAAUUUUCAGCUCCAGGAAGAGGCUGAGAAAAGCAAAAUUCUCUGAAUUGUUGAAUUCUCCCACUCAGGUGAUGAUGAGAAAGUCACACCCGGCCCAAAGCUCUUCCCUCUCCUCCGAGAAUUCCAAGGAAUUCACCCCAAAACUCUGGAAGAUGAACAAAAUUCCACAUUUUCACGGGAUAAUCCCUUUAGAGCAGCAGAAAAAACGACACAAGUCGUGCUCAUGGGUUAUAAAAGCCCUUUUAUAAAGCCAUUUUUAAACAAAACCAAAAAGUUUACAAAAGAAAAUAAAAGAUACAGAAGAAUGAGUUGCUUAAUAUAUUCCAAAAAAGGAGAAAAAUAAAAGAGGGGGGGGACACAAUUCCAACAUGCUGAACAAUAAAGGGAUUUUUUUGUUUUUUCCUCUUGGUUCUUUUUUUUUUUAAUACAAAAUACAAGCAAAGGAUACACAUAUUUAAAACAGAGCUCAGGAGCAGGUAUGCAAUCCUGGGAACCCUUUUUUAAUCAAAGCAAAGCAGGGUUUUUGUUAUUUUUAUUAUUAUUAAUUUUUUUUUUUGUUUUGUUUUUUUUUGUGGUUUUUUUUCUUUCUUUGCAGGUACAUACAGAGAUUGGGAAUAUUUCAAAUUAAUUAGCACAAAAGACCAUCACACAAAUUCUACCCAUGAAUGUUUGCAUCUAAAAAUUCACCAACAUGGUCAACGGUCAUGUUCACUUCAACCCCUUAAAAACAAAAAAAAAACCAACAAAAAACCAAAAGUGUUUUGUUUUUAAUUUUAAAUAAAGCAUUAAUGUUACAUUCAGACUUAACUCCUAGUACCAUGCUAGAUCUCAGUGUUGUCCAGAGUUCCCAACCCCACAGUUUGACUGUUUGCAGCUGCCCCUUUUUUCUGCUUUUAAAAUUAAAAAUAAUAAAAAAACCCAACAAUAAUAAUAAUAAAAAUUAAAAAGGAUAAGGAGGGGAACUGCAAAGAGCCUGAUUUUAAUUUUUUGUUUAAUAUUUCUUUUUUUUUUCCCCCCCCAAAAAAAAAAGCUCACCAGGGGAUUGCAGAUACUCGAGACAAAAUAUUCAUUGCAUACCAGAAAAUUGCUGCCAAGUCUCCUCCUCCACCUUCACACUCCUCACUCAGGGUUUGCUGUGACACGAUGGCAAACGACAACAACGACAAAAAAAAUUACGUAGCUCUUAUUUACAAUUCUUUUUUUUGUUUUUUUUUUGUAACAAUUGCUUCUGCAGGAAGGGAAGAGGGGAAAAAAAAAAGAAGAAAAAAGAAAAUAAAACCUCACAAAUGCCGAGAACACAAAAGGGAAUGGGGAUGUCAGACGCUCCCGCACUCACACACUGAAAUUUCGGGGGUUUUUACACACAUUUAAGUCUGGCUUAAGCUGAUUUUAGGAUCUCCACCCUCCCCUCCCUCCCCCAAAUCCCAAAAUAUAUAUAUAAAAAACCCUGGCCCCACUGUACAAAGCGCUUGCACACGGGUGCUUUGCAGUCACACUGAGCAUGCUGGCCACCACCAACAGGGAAUAUCCCUGCUUUGACAGCAAGAAUUCCAUCAAAAAACAUUCAGCUACUCAGUUUGGGAGUUGAUUUCCAGCUAGGCUGGGCUUGGGGAGCUCUGGGAAUAAACUGAAAUAAAUUGAAAUAAAUUGAAAUAAUUUGAAAUAAAAAGGUGGUUUUUUUUUAUCUCACUGUUGGCUCUCCCUGCUCUGGACAGCCAGAAUGAAGUGUUAGUGUUGCUUCUGUUCCAUCAGCACUUGGAUUUAAGCCUCCUAAAACUGCAGGGAAACACUUAAAGCUGAGGGGAAAUGCUCUGUUUGGUCAAAUACACACAGAAUUUAUCAUUUUCACACAUAGAUGUGACAGCAACCCCCCCAAAAAUUCACAAAUCUUAAAUGCCACCAACUACUCCGUGACAAUUUCCCUUCAAAACUGCUCUGUUUCCUCCCCCCUCCAACAGAUUAAUUCAAUACUAAAUUUUUAAUCAAAUAUUAAACUCCUGGAUCUGUUUUUUGUAGCUUUUAGGAACCGUGUGUUCAACGCUAGGAUCUGUUAGGAAAAAAUAAAAACAACCUCACGAAGAAAGGACAGAAAAGCAAAGCACCGGUUUUGUACAGCUCCAAAAAAAGCUUCCAGCAUGGUUCAGAUUCCUUCCCUCCCUCCCUCACCUGCCUCUUGUACCUUUGUGACCUCAGUGGAGGGAAUAUUAAAUAAAAAAAGGGGGGAAAAAAAGGAAAAAAAAGGGAAAAAAAACAGGAAUUCAGGAUUUGUGCCACUGCCCUGGUGGUGCUGCUUCAGCUCUCUCCCCUCGCUUCUCUCUGCCUUGAGGAAAUUAAAAUUGAUUAAAAACUCCUCAGCUGCUGUUUUUAAACCCAUCCUGACCCCCCUGGAACUGAACCAAAGCAUCUUUAGCACAAAACUCCAGCUGAAAUUGCAGAUUUUGACUGAUUUUGACAAGUCCAAGGCAGGAUUUUGGCACAAACCAGGGCUGGAUGUGGCGCUGUGGAUUCAAGGACAGGAUGAAAACUCUAGGCUGGAAUUUUAAGAGCAAGCCCAGGGCUGGAGACUGAGUGAAUUUAGGAAUAAAUCCAUUUUACCUCUCUGCAAAGGCUCUAGAAAUACAGGUGUGGGACACAGAAUCUUUUCAAAGCCUCCUCCUCCUGUGAAUGAAACUUUCUGCUCCACCAAAAUCUCUUUGUGCUGCUAAAGAAAGGCAUUUUCCCAGCUUUCCUUCCAGAAUGUUUAAUACAAAUUAAUUCCUAUGUGCAUUUAAAAAGGUGAAAAGUCUGCUGCUGCUGAAAAAUGAUGUUAAAAUAAAUAGAUUUAAAAUAAUAAAAAUAUUCACCUUGACUAUUUUUUCCUGUCUGUAAAGAUGUGAAAUUGCUGUAUUUCUAACAGAGGGCUUAGUGUUUGCAUCCAUCAGCAAAACAGGGUUAGAAAAAGUUACAAAAUCCUCAACAUCUGGGAUUUUUAUAGCAUUUGGGUUGUGAGACACUCAGAAAGCAUCAGGCAGCCUCCAACACAUCAGGAAUAAAGGUGUGAGAAAGCAGAACAGUUCUGUAAAAUAAAGGGCCAAACUUGCCAGGACAAAACAAUCCAAAAGCUGAACUGAAACAACAGAAAAAUGAUAUUUCACAGCCUUUUCUUAACUGUGUUAGGAAAAAUAAACCAACCAAAAAUGUAUUUUAGGUGAGAUUCAUAAAAUACACUUCAAAAAACAUCUGGUGAAGAACCAGAUCACCUGGAAUUUUCAUUGUAUAUUUGAAUUUCAAAAAAAAAACCCCUAAGAAGCCAGUGGAGAGUGGCUUGAGACAGUCUGGGAACAGCUCUGGGAACCAGAGAUUUGCAGAUGAAGUGUUUGCUACCCCCAAAAUGGUUUUUUAUUUUUAAAAUGUGGCUGUUUAUUUUCCCAGAAUUACCCAAGAAGUUGAGGGAAUUUCUGCUCUCCCAGAAAUCCAGCAGGUGGGAAGAGGUGUGGGAGAGGAGAAGGGGGUUACAUUUUCUUUAUCAAGACUGAAAUUUCCCUGCAGCAUGAAGCUGUUCUGGAAAAAAAAAAAUAAAAAAAAAUAAAAAUAAAAUAAUCAAACCACUUUAAAAAAUAAAAUUGGAUUUACAAUGAAACAACAUCAUCUUUAUUGUAAUGGCAACAGUAGUUCCAUGAGAGUCAUGAACGUUAGAGAACUUCAAUUUUUAUAAGGGAAAGGGAUUUACCAGCCUCAAUAAAAUCCAGGCUUUAGGGAAUUACACAGGACAAUAUUCCAUUCCCCACCUGUGCUCAGCAUCCUCAGCUCCCUACGGAUUCAGACUCCUGAUCAUGUUUAGUGUAUCACAACAUCUGAGAACUCUCCAAAAUCCCAAACAGGAUUCAAGAUCUGCACCAGAAAUCCCAACUUAUUCAUUAGCUGCCUUUAUGUCACCUUCUGGCUGGUUACAAAAUGGGGAGUUCUGUGAUAAAAAAAAAAUAAAAUAAAAAGCAAAAAUAGGAGAAGGAUGCAAAGCUCAUCAGCUGGAAGAGAAUGUCAGCAACAGACACAAGCACAGAGGGUUUAAGGGAAAAAAAAAAAACAAAAAUAAAAAUGGCAGGUCCAGUUUUUAAUGUUUCCACCAACAAAUGUGGCAGAAAACUCUGUCUGAGGGUGUGAAAACCAAGGUUUGGGGAGUUUAAUGAAGUUUAGGAAAUUAAAAAAGGGAAGAAAGGAUAUGGCUGCUUGGAUAAAAGCACAUUAAAAUGCCAGCACACACCUCGAGUGUCCUGCUCUGACAGGGAAAUCCCAACUCCAGCCACAGGGCCCCACACUGCACACCCAGCUCAGGGGGCACAGCAGGAGGGGAGCUGAUCCCACUGAUCCCACAGAUCCCAGGGGAAGGAUGGGAACUGAUCCCACUGAUCCCACAGAUCCCAGGGGAAGGAUGGGAACUGAUCCCACUGAUCCCAGGGGAAGGAUGGGAACUGAUCCCACAAAUCCCAGGGGAAGGAUGGGAACUGAUCCCACAGGCAGGAGGGAACUGAUCACACAGAUCCAAGGGGAAGGAUGGGAACUGAUCCCACAGGCAGGAGGGAGCUGAUCCCACUGAUCCCACAGGCAGAAAGGGAGGAGCUGAUCCCACAGAUAGGAGGGGAGGAGCUGAUCCCACAGAUCCCAGAGGUGGGGAGCUGAUCCCACAGAUCCCACAGGCAGGAAGGGAGGAGCUGAUCCCACAGGCAGGAGGGGAGGAGCUGAUCCCACAGAUCCCAGAGGUGGGGAGCUGAUCCCACAGAUCCCACAGACAGGAGGGGAGCUGAUCCCACAGAUCCCAGAGGCAGGAUGGGGAGGAGCUGAUCCCUCAGAAUCCAGGGGAAGGAUGGGGAGGAGCUGAUCCCACAGAUCCCACAGAUCCUAGAGGAAGGAUGGGGAGCUGAUCCCACAUGAAGGAUGGGGAGCUGAUCCCACAGAUCCCACAGGCAGGAGGGGAACUGAUCCCACAAGUCCCACAGACAGGAUGAGGAGCUGAUCCCACAGAUCCCAGAGGAACGAUGGGGAGGAGCUGAUCCCGCUGAUCCCAGAGGAAGGAUGGGGAGGAGCUGAUCCCACAGAUCCCAGAGGUGGGGAGCUGAUCCCACAGAUCCCACAGGCAGGAUGGGGAGCUGAUCCUACAGAUCCCAGAGGAAGGAUGAGGCCCUGGAGCUGAUCCCACAGAUCCCAAGUGGGGACAGGGAUGAGGCCCCGGAGCUGAUCCCACAGAUCCCAGAGGAAGGAGGGGAGCUGAUCCCACAGAUCCCAAAGGAAGGAGGGGAGCUGAUCCCACAGAUCCCAAGUGGGGACAGGGAUGAGGCCCCAGAGCUGCUCUGUGCCCGCUGUGCCCCCUCUGCCAGGGACCCCUGGAGCUCUGCUGAGGGCAGGGGAAGGGAAGAGAAACACUCCAGGCUGACCCCUGGGAUCUCAAGUGAUCUCAGAGCACCACAGGAAUCCUUUCCUCACAGCCACAAAAGGACAUCCCUCGCUCCAGAAGAGGAAGAAUUUAAUUUCCCAUUAUUCGUUAAUUUGGGGUUUUUUUUCCUUGGAAAAAUCUGUAAUAAAAACAGUUUCCACCAUACCCAAAGGAAAGCAGUUUUAAAAAUGAUUUUGCAAUUUCUCUUCCCUGUUCUGCCCCUCUACAGAAGGAAUAAAAUAAGGGUGAAUGGACAUGGGAAGGCUGUAGGUUUAAGAUGUGAAUUUAUCUGGAAUGGGCUGCAAUUUGCCUACAGCAGAGACAAAAGAUCUCCCAUCCUGACUGGAGGGUCUUUUCUAAAUCAAAGACACUGGAGCAUCUCCGAGUUUCUUGAUUGCUUUCCAUGAAAAAUGUGCCUGAAUCCAAGAAACACAGGAUUCCUCCCCAAGUUCCAUCCUCCUCCACUGGAAUUAGAUCAACUACAUUUUUGCUGUGAGAAAACUCAUCUCAAAGUCUAUUAAAGCAGAGGUUCGUUAUUUUUUUUUUUCCAUAUAUUCCAAAUACAGGAUAAUAGUUUUAAACAGCUCUUACCAGCACUGGGAAAAUCUAUUCUACUUAAGGUUUUUUAAGUAUGGUUUCCACAGAUCAGUCUCAAACCUUAUUGCUUCACAACUGCAGUAUCCCUUGAAAAAAAAAAAUGAAAUAUUGAAUGGUCUGUUAAAUUUGUCUCAAAUGGCUUUUCAGAUUUGGCAGGGGAGGGAGAACGGAAUGGCCAACAGAGAACAUUGACUUCAAAAUAUUACUGUAGAAGGGUUUCCUCUUAUUAAAAAAGGACACACUGUAUUAAACAGCUGAAAGUAAAGACAGCAUUCAAAGCCCAUGAGUCAAGC